GCUCAGGACGAACGCUGGCGGCAUGCCUAACACAUGCAAGUCGAACGGAGAUUAUUUCGAUAAUCUUAGUGGCGAACGGGUGAGUAACGCGUGGGCAACCUGCCCUCUAGAUGGGGACAACAUCCCGAAAGGGGUGCUAAUACCGAAUGCGACAGCAAUCUCGCAUGGGGAUGCUGUGAAAGAUGGCCUCUAUUUAUAAGCUAUCGCUAGAGGAUGGGCCUGCGUCUGAUUAGCUAGUUGGUGGGGUAACGGCCUACCAAGGCGAUGAUCAGUAGCCGGUCUGAGAGGGUGAACGGCCACAUUGGGACUGAGACACGGCCCAGACUCCUACGGGAGGCAGCAGUA
rnacentral:rRNA from 1 species